GCUGGGCAUGGUGGUGCACACCUGUAGUUCCAGCUACUCGGAAAGCUGAGGUGGGAGGAUUGCUUGAGCCCAGGAGCCCAGGAGCUCAAGGCUUUAGUCAACUGUGAUCGAGUCAUGCACUCCAGCCUGGGCAACAGAGCAAGACCCCCUCUCUU
rnacentral:SRP_RNA from 1 species